AUCAGACUUGUCAGAGACUCCAGGAUGAGACUGCAAGGCUAGCUGAACUAAAAACAGAGCUACAUUGCACAGAUGAAUUGGUGUCACAGUGGCUCUCUGAUGUGAAGGAAUGGGCAGCUGAUGAGACACUAGAUACAUCUCAUGCCAGCAGCACACACAGAGGACUUCAGCAGUCAAUUGAGGGGCUUUAUCUUAGUGUGAGGCAGCGGAAGCAAACCAUUUACUGCCAGAAUGACAGCAGCAAGCUUCGCCACCGCCCUCACAGGAAGCUGGCAGAAGACAAAAAGCUCCUUCUUCAGGAGAUACAGAAAAAAAAUGGUCUUGCAUUAGACUCUGCCACAAACAUUGAUGUCUCUGCUGUGGAGCAUUCCCUUACUGGAGAGAGCAGUGUGUCACAAAUAUGGCCGUGGGAGGUUCAUGGCAGUGCAAACAUUUCAACCAAGUAACAAUUGCAUGACCAAGUGAUGUUGACAAUGCGACUGCACGAGGAGAAAAGCAUUUUGGUGUUGGAGAUGGCACAACACUGCACAUGGUUGCAGAGCCUGACAGUGGUUCUCAAGAACAAGAUGGCUGAGGAGGAUGAAGACAAGGAAAAUGAGGGACUUUGCUGUCUCUUAAGAAGAAGACUGUCAGAGGUGUCAGAACGGGUGCAAGUGGUCCUCCAACAGUACAAGACUGCUUUACUGUAGGUCCUGAGGCCUCAUCCUUCUACAUGUUGAAGCAGAAGAUCCAAGUGGUCUCAGUAGCCCAGACACCAGUGAGGAUGAAGAGGAAAACACAACUUAGAUGGAAGCUACUCAAAGGACUGUGUUGAAGGAAGUGGACUCGCCCUAUAUCUGUGUAUUAUUAGUAUGCUGAUUGAUUAACCACAUCUAAAUCUGGAUGCAUCCUAUAUUGUUGAAAAUUCAACCUGUAUGUACAUUACCAAGCAAUUUAGUAAGCAUAUUAAUGUUCCUUGAAGAUGCACAAAUCUCUUAGUAUAGUAAUGUAUGAUCUUAUCAGAUGUAAAUACUUGACUGACAUGAUGUUUGUUAGUGUAUUCCUGCUUCUUAAAGAGAGACUCCCCAUUGAUUUUUGUACGCCAACAUCAGGCCAAACUUUUGACUUUAUAUGACAAAUGUUAAGAACAGAUUUCUUAGUAACUUGCUGAGCAAUCUCAAACUUCCCAGGUAAUGAAUCUUGUCAGUUUUGUUAACAUUUGUUAAAUUCCCUUUAGCAUAUCCUUCGACCAUAAUGUAAAAUUUGAUAUUGUCUAUUAGUAGAGGAUCUAUGCCUUUUUUCCCAGAAGCGGCUGUCUAUGUAUCACUACUUGAUUGAAUGCAUUAUAGGAUACAACUUUAUGUUACUGCACCAUUGAAGAUAAACAACAUCAAUUAUUUCUUAAAGAUGGUUAAUUUGUUGACAAUUUAUCUGUCACUGUCAGUUUUGUCCUUACAAGUACAUUGAAUAUUGGUACAGCAGAUUUAGCUUAUACAUUAAGUACCUGAUUAUACAUUAUUUCAGUUGACAGAUAACUUGAUUCCAUUUUGUUUGUGCUUUUCAAGUUAAGUUAACCUUAUAGUCCAGUAUUAUUAAAUACAACCUUAUGACAUGUGUGACAAAUAUGCAUUUUGGUGUAUUUUCAUUGGUAUUGUUGUGAAAGACAAAAAAAAUAUUAUUUCCAAAGAAGAGUAUUUUAUGUUUUUACUUUUCCAUACAUUAUUAUUUAUUAAUUUUAAAAUUUGAUGGUUGAUUAAAGGCAAUAGCUGGAGAAAGAAACAUAAAUUAAGUUUUUGUCUGUGUUUGAUUGUAUUGUGUUGUCUGUUUUGCUUUAUGUACAGUAUUUUCUGUGUAUGCAAAGAUGCAAACUCCUCACUUUCAGUGAGAACUCACCUUUCUGAGAUCAAAAUAAGUCAUCUGGAUUUGCAGAGACCCAAUAAAAAAAGUGUUUUAUGGAGGGAGGUGGCGGGGGUCUUAUAAGGGUUCUUGUAAACUUACAACAGUAAAUAAAGAACUGGUUGUUUCAAUAAGUAAUGUAACGUGUUUCCUUUACUCUUUACUUAAAAUAAUACCCAUUGUAGGCAUAGUUUUAAAUGUAUUUGAGGUCUGAGAUGUGGCAAACAGUGUUACCAUCUAAUCAGCCAAUAUUGUCUUAAAUAUCCUGUGUAGCACUUUGUCAUUUAUAAUAUGAGAUUUUAACUAAAUGUUGAUUUUGGUAAAAUGUUGCAACAAUAUGUUAAUUAUUUUGUGAAAUAUUACAGUUUUUGACAUAUAGGGUAAUAAAAAAUACAUAAAAAAAAAUAAAAAAUAAAUGAAGUACAAAUGAGCAGUAAAGCAAAUAACAAAAAAAAAAAAAAAUCAGUGAGCAUGCACCUGCCCUGUGCAACAUUCUCACCUUUUUCCCCAACACCUGUUUGCAUCCCUGAUAUGUGUUAAGGACCCCCUAAAAACUAGAUGGUUCAUCGCAAGGAAUUUAUUCUUUUAAUAAACUUACAAUAUGUGUAAUGUAAUGAC